rnacentral:snRNA from 1 species
AUUGCUUCUUGGCCUUUUGGCUAAGAUCAAAUGUAGUAUCUGUUCUUAUCAGUUUAAAAGAGGCCACUACAUAGAUGAAACUCACAAGUUUCACUAUAUUCAAAUAGUCUCUUCUUUGUCAUUCUAGUACAUAUACAUCUU